UAACGUGAGCGUCCUAAGGUAGCGCGAUAAUUUGCUUUUCAAUUGAAGGAUGGUAUGAAAGGGUUAACGAAGAAGGUGCUGUGUCUAAAAAUUCAAUUUAAACUAACUUUAAGGUGAAGAGGCCUUUAUGUAAAAGAAGGACGACAAGACCCUAUGAAGCUUUAUCUUAAUUGGAGCUCUCAGGCUCUUAUACGAUUUUGAUGGGAGAUCAGUAGAAAGAAGUCUUCUACUAUCAUAUUAAUCUUACUAGUAUUUCCUAACUUUAUAUGUGUGGCUAGCUACUCUAGGGAUAACAGCGCAAUUUCUCCCGAAAGAUGGUAUUGGAGGGGAAGAUUGCGACCUCGAUGUUGGCUUUAGAUAUCCUAGAGGCGUAGAAGCUUCU
rnacentral:rRNA from 1 species